rnacentral:rRNA from 1 species
AUACGUAGGUGACAAGCGUUAUCCGGAUUUACUGGGCGUAAAGGGCGUGUAGGCGGUCUUGCAAGUCAGAAGUGAAAUUCCUGAGCUCAACUCGGGCGCUGCUUCUGAAACUGCAGGACUUGAGUGCUGGAGGGGAUAGCGGAAUUCCUAGUGGAGCGGUAAAAUGCGCAGGUAUUAGGAAGAACACCGGUGGCGAAGGCGGCUAUCUGGACAGUAACUGACGCGGAGGCGCGAAAGCGUGGGGAGCAAACAGGAUUGGAUCACCUGGUUGUCCACGCCGUAAACGAUGAAUACUAGGUGUAGGGGGUAUCGACUCCCUCUGUGCCGCAGUUAACACAAUAAGUAUUCCGCCUGGGGAGUACGGCCGCAAGGUUGAAACUCAAAGGAAUUGACGGGG